rnacentral:rRNA from 1 species
UGGCUCAGAUUGAACGCUGGCGGCAGGCCUAACACAUGCAAGUCGAGCGGAUGAAAGGAGCUUGCUCCUGGAUUCAGCGGCGGACGGGUGAGUAAUGCCUAGGAAUCUGCCUGGUAGUGGGGGACAACGUUUCGAAAGGAACGCUAAUACCGCAUACGUCCUACGGGAGAAAGCAGGGGACCUUCGGGCCUUGCGCUAUCAGAUGAGCCUAGGUCGGAUUAGCUAGUUGGUGAGGUAAUGGCUCACCAAGGCGACGAUCCGUAACUGGUCUGAGAGGAUGAUCAGUCACACUGGAACUGAGACACGGUCCAGACUCCUACGGGAGGCAGCAGUGGGGAAUAUUGGACAAUGGGCGAAAGCCUGAUCCAGCCAUGCCGCGUGUGUGAAGAAGGUCUUCGGAUUGUAAAGCACUUUAAGUUGGGAGGAAGGGCAGUAAAUUAAUACUUUGCUGUUUUGACGUUACCGACAGAAUAAGCACCGGCUAACUCUGUGCCAGCAGCCGCGGUAAUA